CGAUGAUGAUGAAAAUUAGGGGACUCUAGACGAGUACCUUAGUCGAUAGUGUUUUGAGUUUCCAUAUGUGGACGUCAUAGCUUGAACAAGAACCAGUGAAAUGCAGGUCAUGCCUGUGGCUUGAGGGAAGCUGCAACAAUCCUAUGGCAGGGAAAGAAACCUAUAUCUAGUGAUGCAACAUUGAUUGUGAAGUGGCAUUUGUUUUUGUUUACUUUUUGAUGAGAAAUGUAUACGUAACUUUGUGUUUACAAUAAUUUGAAUGCAUGUUGAGUCAAGUGAUUAGUUACCUUCUGGGUAAAAGUAGACCUUUUUGUUGAGAGUUGAAAGUGAGAUUACUAGUGUCGAAUUUUGCCGUAUAAGCUAAAUGAAACACUUUUACGAUAAAAUCCUUGUGCAACAAAGGAAAAAUUCAUUGGAAAAAACUCAAGUCUCAUCUAUAGUGAACUCUACAAUCUUUCCUUUUUUUUUGUUAUAAAGAUAAACAAUAAAUAGUAAAAUGGGAAAAGUAUUUAUGAGUUUAAAUUAUAUUUGUUAUUUAUCAAGUGAAAUAGUUAGCACAAUGUGCUCGGCAUGGGUCAAAAUAUAAAUUUCAGUGACUUAAGUUAUUCAGUAUUUCUUUAUAAAUUUAUAAUAAUAUCGACCAAGUAAAAAGUACCAUAACCUGAAGAAAACUAAAGUUAAAAAUAUAAAAACUUUACAAAUCAUAGUGAAAAUUAAUUUGGCCAUCUAAAUUGUAUAAAUAUAUUUGUUUUACUUAUGGAGAAAACAUAUAAAACAGAUGUAAAAUGUCUCUGACUAUAAAAGUAAGUAUCCCUUCAUUUUUAAUCACACGACUCUAAUUUUAAUAGCAUGUUUGGGAAGUCACCCUUUAAUUGAAUUUGAGUGUAAUUGGGUUACACAAUUUUGACAUGUUUGUCAACUAAGUGGACAUGUGAGUCUCAGAAACUAAUCUUCGUUAAUAAUGUUACACGACGAUGAUGAUGAAAAUUACGGGACUCUAGACGAGUACCUUAGUCGAUAGUGUUUUGAGUUUCCGUAUGUGGACGUCAUAGCUUGAACAAGAACCAGUGAAAUGCAGGUCAUGCCUGUGGCUUGAGGGAAGCUGCAACAAUCCUAUGGCUGGGAAAGAAACCUAUAUCUAGUGAUGCAACAUUGAUUGUGAAGUGGCAUUUGUUUUUGUUUAGACUUUUUGAUGAGAAAUGCAUACGUAACUUUGUGUUUACAAUAAUUUGAAUGUAUGUUGAGUCAAGUGAUUAGUUAGUUAAGAGUGCACGGAUUUUUCUCUUCUGAGUAAAAGAAGUAACCUUUUUGUUGAGAGUUGAAAGUAAGGAUGUCUAAUGGAUGGGCCAGACUAGGUAGGAAAAAUUAGUAACCGUACAGCUUGGGGUCCGGGCCGGUUAGAGGUUGGGGCUUAACCGGGGUUUAACAGGUUCAGGUUCAUCCGGGGAGACAAAAUAAACUGUAAGGGUUAUAGGUAUAAGGGGCCGGUCCGGAACGGGUUAGUGUAAUUUUUAAUUUUUUUUGUAUUUUGUAUAAAUAUUGUAAGUUAUAUUAAUAUAAAGUAAAAAUAUAAAGAAUAAAAUGAAGAUGAGAAAAAAUUGCACUUAUAAAUUGUAAGUGCUACAUUUAUUUCAAAAUUACAAAUUGCAGUUUUCAUUUAA
rnacentral:lncRNA from 1 species